CACCAGCGCCUCGAGUGGUACCCACGAAUAUUGGGCCUAAAGCGUCCGUAGCUGGGCCUUUAAGUCCGCUGUGAAAUGUUGGAGCUCAACUCUAACGCGUGCAGUGGAUACUGUUGGUCUUGGGAACGGGGGAGGGUCGGAGUACUUCCAGGGUAGGGGUAAAAUCCGUUGAGCCUGGAAGGACUACCAGUGGCGAAGGCGCCGAUCCAAAACGUGUCCGACGGUGAGGGACGAAAGCUGGGGGAGCGAACGGG
rnacentral:rRNA from 1 species